UUCAUAUCUAUAUGAAAGGAUAUUUCCUUAUUUUCCUUCCCUUCUCUUCCCAAAUCUCUCAAGAACCAGAAGAGAGACCCCCAAAUAUUCGGCUGCAGCAAUGCCCCACCUACUCCUCCACUAUCACGCUCCAAUCACAACCGUCCAUCUCAGAUCAUGUUCUUUCCCCUCCCCUAAACCAACGGCCCAUAUUCACCUACGCUCCAACCCAACAACAGGCGCGACCGUAAAGUGCAUGGCCAAUCCUAGGAGAGUUAAAAUGGUAUCGAAACAGAUAAGGAGAGAGCUUUCGGACAUGCUCUUAACUGACAAAGUGUUGCAAUACGCUAUAUUGCCUGAAGCCGCCUUAGGAGCCGACCGCUACCUCUCUUCCCUUACUACCAUAAGUGAUGUUGAAGUUUCAGCUGAUUUACAGGUUGUUAAAGUGUAUGUAUCUGUUUUUGGUGAUGAGAGAGGGAAGGAGAUUGCGCUUGCCGGAUUGAAGUCAAAAGCUAAAUAUGUUAGAAGUGAGCUGGGGAAGCGUAUGAAGUUGCGGCUUACGCCAGAGAUACGUUUUAUCGAAGAUGAAUCUCUGGAGAGGGGAAGCAGGGUAAUUGCCAUAUUAGAUAAAAUAAAGGCGGAGAAAAAGACUUUGGCAGAUGAAGAUUAUGAAGAAGAAGCUGAAUCAUCUGUUUCGGCUCAAGAUGACACGGACUGGGAGAGUGAUGACCCCGAUGAAGAUAUUAUUUACGUAAAGUAGUCUCCUUGCUUUCUCUCAGCAUUUCUUCAGGGCUGAAUGAAGUAGUUGUAGUAAUAUUUUUACAGUGUAGAAUUUCCAAACAAGUCUUCUUUCCAAACAAGUCUUCUCAUUCGGUGUCUCCAUGCUACCUGAAUCUCUAUCCAAAAUUUGGCCUUGUUGGUUUCACUUUUUCUUUCUUGUGCAAUAUACAUCAUAUAAUGAUCAAUUUAUAAACGCUGAAUGGUAGUCUAGAUUGAGAAUUCUGGAUGCUAAUUGCUGAGAGUACUUGAAACUGACAAUUUUCAUGAAGUUGCUAUGUAAAUAUGUUUCUGCUCAA